rnacentral:rRNA from 1 species
UACGGGGGGGGCAAGCGUUGUUCGGAAUUACUGGGCGUAAAGGGCUCGUAGGCGGCCAACUAAGUCAGACGUGAAAUCCCCAGGCUCAACCUGGGAACUGCGUCUGAUACUGGAUGGCUUGAAUCCGGGAGAGGGAUGCAGAAUUCCAGGUGUAGCGGUGAAAUGCGUAGAUAUCUGGAGGAACACCGGUGGCGAAGGCGGCUCUCUGGGCCUUACCUGACGCUGAGGAGCGAAAGCGUGGGUAGCGAACAGG